GAAAUGCGAUAAGUAAUGUGAAUUGCAGAAUUCAGUGAAUCAUCGAUUCUUUGAACACACAUUGCGCCCGCCAGUAUUCUGGCGGGCAUGCCUGUUCGAGCGUCAUUUCAACCAUCAAGCCCCCGGCUUGUGUUGGGGACCUGCGGCUGCCCGCAGGCCCUGAAAAACAGUGGCGGGCUCGCUGUCACACCGAGCGUAGUAGCAUACAUUCUCGCUCAGGGCGUGCUGCGGGUUCCGGCCGUUAAACGACCUUCAUAACCCAAGGUUGACCUCGGAUCAGGUAGGAAGACCCGCUGAACUUAAGC
rnacentral:misc_RNA from 1 species